rnacentral:rRNA from 1 species
UACAGAGGGGGCAAGCGUUGUUCGGAAUUACUGGGCGUAAAGGGCGCGUAGGCGGCCUUCUAAGUCGAACGUGAAAUCCCUGGGCUCAACCCAGGAACUGCGUCCGAUACUGGAAGGCUUGAAUCCGGGAGAGGGAUGCGGAAUUCCAGGUGUAGCGGUGAAAUGACGUAGAUAUCUGGAGGAACACCGGUGGCGAAGGCGGCAUCCUGGACCGGUAUUGACGCUGAGGCGCGAAAGCCAGGGGAGCAAAGCGGG